AAUAAUCCGUCCAAGAAACCGGCGACACCCCUUUCUCCGCCGUCUUCUUAAGCACAUCCACCCAUAACGUCCCGGCCGCCACGUCAGCGUACUUCUUGUCUUUUGAAACCACCACGUCAGUGAUACACGUCAUGUUGACGAUUACUCCGCCGGAGACCGAGGCUUGGCCGUUUAAGGAGUGGCCUUGGCCACGAGCCGCUACUUGGAAUGUACUUUUUCCGUUUGCGGCGUAUUGGAGGAGACGAGAGAUAUCAGCGGUGGAGGAGGGGCAGAUUACGCCGCCGGGGGUCACGGUGGUUAUGUUUCCGAAGUCAUGAGAGGCUGCGGAGAUGAUGGAAGGAUCGGUAGAGAGGGUGAGGUUAAGGGAUUUAGGUAAAUCAAUUUUAAUACCGUUUGAUGAUUUGGUGAUCAUUAAAACCGUGAUUAAAGUGAUCAUUAAACGAAGAUUAGCCAUUUGUUUAUGUUUCUCUCUCUCUCUGAUUUGAUUUUUGAAGAAGAGAAUUACAACGAAAGAAUUAGAUAUCGCUAUAAUUUGUUACUUAUAUAGACACCGUAGGAAUGUAUGUAUAACAUAAAAUAUGGAAUCCUACCAAAAAAAAAAAGACAAUAAAUAUUGAAGUCAAAAUGAAAUCUCAAAUAAUUCCUAAAAAUGAAAAAAGGAAAUCUUACUGUUUUGUCAACUUGUUGAAUUAAUACUUCAAGGCACAUCCUCAUAUUUAGAUAUAUAAUAAAUCUUGUUGACUAUAGUUAGCCAUAUCUAUCCAUAAAUAUCUUUUUAGAAUUUGAAUUUAGUAUUAACCAACAAAAAAAUUUACAUUAAUUUUCUUGGAAUAAAAUCGAGUAAAGCUUUCACUAAGGUUUGUUGAGAAAAAUAUUAAAGAGUGAAACUGAAUUAAAAAAAACUUAUGUUUAUGUAUGUGCAUUUCCAUGAACCAGCAUGUCAUAACAUAAAAGCCUAGAGGGGAGGGUCGAGGGGAGAGUCGGGUAGUUCAAGGAGUUGAUUUGGUUGCAAAUGAUUCGGUGAAUAUGCCGUUGAAAGUAAACUGCCGAUUGGAGAGGCAUGCAUUACGUUCUUGCCAACUUGACUAAAGAUCAUAUACGUAGGUCGUGGUUUAUUUUUGCGGGAACCAAAACUUUUGGGAUUUUGAUUCAAAGACAUCAUAACAGAUAAGAUGAUCGAGAUGUAGUAAGACAAGGAAUGUUUUACAUGGAUGUAGGCGUGUUCUGACUCAUAUAUUGGUUGAGGAAUGCUCUGAGUGUUCAGAGAACCGUAUAGGACUUAAUCGCAGCGGGUGGAGCUGGAUGCGUCUUUAAGAUAACGAAUUAGUUUCUGGUUCUUGUGAUCAGUUGUGUUUAAUGUAUAUUCAUGGGUGAUAGAUUUAAUCACUCAUAAUCUUAUGUUACAAUCCUUUGUGCUAUUUUAGUUAUGUUCAUUAGAGUAUUUAUGAUAAGAACUCACUAGCUGCGAGGAGGAGAUGGAACUUGCCAGAGAACCACUCAGAUUCAAGAGGAGGACAACAAAGAUGAAUGGACAUGGGUUUGGUACUUAUUUGGAAGAAUACUCCUACUAGGUUACUGUUUGAGAUGAUGGAUAAGCUUCUGAAUGAGAGAAUGACGAAGAGGAGUGGAUGUGUCAUGUAAACCAAAUACUGAGCUACUAAGAACUGAUUUCAAGAAUUUGUUUAGAUUUUGAUUUGGAAUCAUAGCAAAACCAUAUGUGAUACGUUUUGGAUCAGAAAAAAAAAACGAUCCAAGGCAGCCAAUUGUUGCGGGCAGGCCCGUCUGCCAUCUUUAGAUAAUUAGAUGUAACUAAA